CGAGGGGCAUCAGGAAGAAGCUUGCUUUCUUUGCUGGCGACCCGCGCACGGGUGAGUAACACGUAUCCAACCUGCCCUUUACUCGGGGAUAGCCUUUCGAAAGAAAGAUUAAUACCCGAUGGGAUAAUCAUUCCGCAUGGUUUGAUUAUUAAAGGAUUCCGGUAAAGGAUGGGGAUGCGUUCCAUUAGGUUGUUGGUGAGGUAACGGCCCACCAAGCCUUCGAUGGAUAGGGGUUCUGAGAGGAAGGUCCCCCACAUUGGAACUGAGACACGGUCCAAACUCCUACGGGAGGCAGCAGUGAGGAAUAUUGGUCAAUGGGCGAUGGCCUGAACCAGCCAAGUAGCGUGAAGGAUGACUGCCCUAUGGGUUGUAAACUUCUUUUAUAUUAGAAUAAAGUGCAGUAUGUAUACUGUUUUGUAUGUAUAAUAUGAAUAAGGAUCGGCUAACUCCGUGCCAGCAGCCGCGGUAAUACGGAGGAUCCGAGCGUUAUCCGGAUUUAUUGGGUUUAAAGGGAGCGUAGGUGGACUGGUAAGUCAGUUGUGAAAGUUUGCGGCUCAACCGUAAAAUUGCAGUUGAUACUGUCAGUCUUGAGUACAGUAGAGGUGGGCGGAAUUCGUGGUGUAGCGGUGAAAUGCUUA
rnacentral:rRNA from 1 species